rnacentral:rRNA from 1 species
AACGAACGCUGGCGGCAUGCCUAACACAUGCAAGUCGAACGAUGCCUUCGGGCAUAGUGGCGCACGGGUGCGUAACGCGUGGGAAUCUGCCCUUGGCUUCGGAAUAACAGUUAGAAAUGACUGCUAAUACCGGAUGAUGUCUUCGAACCAAAGAUUUAUCGGCCAGGGAUGAGCCCGCGUAGGAUUAGGUAGUUGGUGGGGUAAAGGCCUACCAAGCCGACGAUCCUUAGCUGGUCUGAGAGGAUGAUCAGCCACACUGGGACUGAGACACGGCCCAGACUCCUACGGGAGGCAGCAGUGGGGAAUAUUGGACAAUGGGGGGAACCCUGAUCCAGCAAUGCCGCGUGAGUGAUGAAGGCCUUAGGGUUGUAAAGCUCUUUUACCGGGGAUGAUAAUGACAGUACCUGGAGAAUAAGCUCCGGCUAACUCCGUGCCAGCCGCCGCAGUAACAC